GAUGACUCCAGCUCAGCCGAUGCCUUGAUGCAGCUAGAAAUAAUGCAGCAGACAGCCAUGGGAGAAGCCUGGAGAGCAGUAAGAGGAAGGAGAACUCAUGACUUAUCCAGGACCCCAGAACUGGAGGAACAGCAGAGCAGCAGGGCAUCUCAGCUCCUCAACCCAACAUAAAAAGGCCACCUAGACUCAGCAUUUCCCCACCCCCAAACCAGCAACAUUUGACAGUUCAAGUAGGAACAUAUUUCCCUGGG
rnacentral:lncRNA from 10 species